rnacentral:misc_RNA from 1 species
GAAAUGCGAUAAGUAAUGUGAAUUGCAGAAUUCAGUGAAUCAUCGAAUCUUUGAACGCACCUUGCGCUCCUUGGUAUUCCGAGGAGCAUGCCUGUUUGAGUGUCAUGGAAUUCUCAACUCUAUUUGCUUUUGUGAAUAGAGCUUGGAUUUGGAGAUUUAUUGCUGGUACUUGUGAUCGGCUCCUCUUGAAUGCAUUAGCUCGAACCUUUGCGGAUCAGCUAUCGGUGUGAUAAUUGUCUACGCCGUUGCAGUGAAGCAUAUCAAUGGGCUCGGCUUCCAAUCGUCCUUUACUGGACAAUGACUUUGACCUUUGACCUCAAAUCAGGUAGGAUUACCCGCUGAACUUAAGC